CUUGACGGAUCCGAGCCACAGCGGCUGCCCGUCAAGGCGCUCUUGCCCGUAGGUGGCGAGGAGCGCCUGGACCUC
rnacentral:antisense_RNA from 2 species